CCGUCCCACCACGCACGACCCACGGCUUCUUCGCUCCAGCUUCAUACCGCUAUACGCCGCAACGUCCGGGCCCACAUUCACCACACGCCCUAUUUUACCUCAACCUAUAAAAUACUCACUCACCCGUCUUCUCCGUCACCACAAACCACAAAAAUCAAAACCGCACCAGAGAGAGAAUCUGAGAGAAACCAGAAGCCGAGAUAUGUGGAACGACAACGGGACCAUAUCGCCGACGGGGAACAAUCUGAAGGAGAAGCGUCACCGAUCGAUGAUGUGCAUGCCGGUGUGUUUCUCCAGCUCCACGCAUCCUUUUGACGUCUUGGACGACGAGGACUACAUCAGGACUCCGCGGUCGCCGGUGAUGCCUGAGAUCAGGGACCGGUGCCGGAAUCUCAUUAACAGAAUCGGAGGAGGGAGGCGCAGGAGGGCUUCGUCGGCAGACUUCAGCUACGACGCUUCCAGCUACGCUCUCAAUUUCGAGGACGACACCACACGAGCCGACGACAUCCUCUUCCGGUCGCGGCUGCCGUCCUCCGCCUCCGGGAGCCUGACCCCCCCGGAGAAGUCGACCACGAGCCGGCACAUUCUGGACGACGUUCUGGAGGAAGAUGAGGACAACCGGAGCUGGAGGAGAAACCAAAUGAGGCGGUCGCCGCCUGAGGACAAGGAGAAGAGUACGAAGAGCCGGAACAUGGUGUCGAGAAUCGGACUGCGGGGACGGAACCGCCACUCGUCCACGUCGGCCGACUUCAGCUACGAGCCGUCCAGCUACGCGCUCAAUUUCGAAGACGAUAGCAGCAAAGCCGACGAGCUUGGCCCUGACAAUGGAUUCAUGGCGCGUUUGCCGCAGUCGCCUUUGCCAUCGGUUCAGAGUUCGGCAUCACCGCCGCUGCCGCCUACAAAGUGUUCGGCGGUGCGCCCAGAGAUUGCUGCCUUUUGCUGAAAAGUUAAACGACGUGCGUUUCUUGAUACCCGAUGGGACGUACCCUCCUUCCACGGGGGGGGGGGGGGGUAAAACGCAGUCGUUUGGCGCUCGGAUAGAGGCUAAAUAAGGAACGGGCUGAAAGAAUAUCAGGCCCAAUCUGAUCACUCAAUGAGAAGUAUUGGCCCAAUCUGAUCACUCAAUGAGAAGUAUUGUGACUCGGUUAUCAGCCUAUUGGAUAAUAUACUUGGACAGAAUAGCCCGUUAAGCUCCAAUUUCAAUAUGGGCUGAUGAGGCCGUGAACUCUGUCUUGUAUUUUUUAUUUUUUUCGUCUAAAUAUGUUGUUUAAUAAAUAAUCCAUGAGAUCGUCUCUGAAUGAUGAUUCUGAUGUUUUGUACAGUAGAUAAUCUUAUUUUGAACGGAUAAAACUUGCAUUCG
rnacentral:lncRNA from 1 species